rnacentral:tRNA from 1 species
GGGCGGUUAGCUCAGCGGUAGAGCACUGCGCUUACAACGCAGGGGUCGGCGGUUCGAACCCGUCACCGCCCACCA